rnacentral:tRNA from 1 species
GUUGUGGCUGGCUCAGUUGGUGGAGCACUUGCCUAGCACAUGUGAGGUCCUGGGUUCGAUUCUCAGCACCACA